CUGAACCAGCCAAGUAGCGUGAAGGAGGGACUGCCCUAUGGGGUGUAAACUUCUUUUGUACGGGAAUGAAGUGAGGGACGUGUGCGUUUUUGUAUGGACCGUAUGAAUAAGGAUUGGCUAACUCCGAGCCAGCAGCCGCGGUAAUACGGAGGAUCCGAGCGUUAUCCGGAUUUAUUGGGUUUAAAGGGAGCGUAGGCGGACGCUUAAGUCAGUUGUGAAAGUUUGCGG
rnacentral:rRNA from 1 species